rnacentral:rRNA from 1 species
UACGUAGGUGGUGAGCGUUGUCCGGAUUUACUGGGCGUAAAGAGCGCGCAGGCGGUCGUACAAGUCGCGUGUGAAAGCCCCCGGCUCAACUGGGGAGGGUCACGCGAUACUGUUCGACUCGAAGGCAGGAGAGGGUAGUGGAAUUCCCCGGUGUAGUGGUGAAAUGCGUAGAUAUCGGGAGGAACACCAGUGGCCGAAGGCGACUACCUGGCCUGUUCUUGACGCUGAGGCACGAAGGUCAGGGGAGCAACGGG